CCUACGGGUGGCAGCAGUGAGGAAUAUUGGUCAAUGGACGAGAGUCUGAACCAGCCAAGUAGCGUGAAGGAUGACUGCCCUAUGGGUUGUAAACUUCUUUUAUAUGGGACUAAAAUGUUCCACGUGUGGGAUUUUGUAUGUACCAUAUGAAUAAGGGUCGGCUAACUACGUGCCAGCAGCCGCGGUAAUACGGAGGAUCCGAGCGUUAUCCGGAUUUAUUGGGUUUAAAGGGAGCGUAGGUGGAUUGUUAAGUCAGUUGUGAAAGUUUGCGGCUCAACCGUAAAAUUGCAGUUGAGACUGGCAGUCUUGAGUACAGUAGAGGUGGGCGGAAUUCGUGGUGUAGCGGUGAAAUGCUUAGAUAUCACGAAGAACUCCGAUUGCGAAGGCAGUUCACUGGACUGCAACUGACACUGAGGCUCGAAAGUGUGGGUAUCAAACAGGAUUAGAUACCCCGGUAGUC
rnacentral:rRNA from 1 species